GCAAUUUAGAUGACAUCAAAAAUGGAACUAUGUUAAGUGGGAGACGCAGCUCUUGCCAGGAGCUGAUGACCACGCGCAACGUGUACAUCCAGGCCAUCAACUACACCACAGUGGCACUGGGAAAGGAACUUCUGAGGAUCGCGCCCACACCCUAUCACAACACAGAAAUGAUGGAUGAUCUUGUUGAGAAACUUGUCAUCAUCUGGUAAAACAACCAUCUUGACUUGCACAAUAACCUCUUCUUGAGGCCAUGCAAGUUCUGCCAGAAACCGCUGGAGUUUGAGAGCUUCUUUUUGUGGGAUCCAGUCUGUCAGCGGUCAAACUGCACCAAGAGCUCCCUGCAGAGCAUGCAUCUGACUGCUUUAAAAAGAAGUUGUGGAGGAUUUGGUUUUGCUGGCCUAAACUUGGAAAAUCUGGGUUUAAAUCAACAGAUUGUAUGACUUUAGUCUUAGAAUAAUUCUUUACAUUGUACUUUUCUCAAAAUAAAAAACUCUUUCCAAUAUUUACCAAUUAAAAUUCAGAUAUAUGAAGAGAUUAACAUACAUUAUGAAAAUUUUAAUUCUGUAUAAGUGGUUGAAUGUUGAUUGUAAUUUAGCAGUUUUAGAAGACCCCUUAUUAUCAUUUUUCAUUUGGAUGUUUUCCAGUCUGUAUAUAGGCAAAACCUUAAGUGCCUUUAGUUAGAUCAAAGCCUAUUCUUAAGUCUAUAAUUUGAUUUAGGAUAUAGGCCCAAAACUGCCUUUUUAUGCUCCCCCCCAAAAUAUAGUCGCCGCUUCGUCUGUCCGUGUGUCCGUCCGUGCACAAUUUUUGUCCAGGCUAUUUCUCAGCAAUUAAUGACCGGAAUUCAAUGAAACUUUUUGGGAAGCUUCACUACCAACAGGAGAUGUACAUAUUAUCAGCCGGUUAUGGUCGGAUGAUUUUUCACAGAGUUAUGGCCCUUUGACAUUUUCUAUAAACUGUACAUAUAGUGCAAUUCUUGUCCCCCCAACUACUGACUGGAAUUCAAUGAAGCUUUAUGGGAAGCUUAACUACCUUGAGGAGAUGCGCAUGUUAUUUGUGGGUUCUGGUUAGAUGGUUUUAUUUAGAGAGUUAUGGCCCUUUGAAAUUUUUAAGUUGCUAAACCAUUCAUCGUAUUAUUUUGUCCAAAGUUAUGCCCCUCAAGACUUUUCCUUUUAUUUGAAUAUAUAGUGCAAUAUUGUGACAAAAAAAAACUUUGGGGAGCAUCACCCGUCUCCGACGGUUUCUUGUUUAAAUUUGGAGACAGUUAUUAUUGAGUAACUCUUUGGGAUAUAUAACAUUUUUAUAAAAAGGCCAUUGCAAAAAUAUAAUCUCAAUACAUUUGUGAAUAUUUGAGAAUUUUCAUUUGUGAUUUACAACAUUUUAAGAUUUAGCUUAAGCAAAUUCCUCUAAUUAUUCUCAAUCGGAAAUAAUGGUUGAAAAUAUUGAAUGCCAUUUUCAAUUGGAAUGAUGGUAUUAAAAAUGAGAAAAAAUAUACAUUUUAAGCAAAUUUAUUGUCUUUUUUUUCCCUGUAACUUAUUUAAUAUGGUGUAUAUCUUAAGACCAAUUUAAGUUAGAACAAUAAUUUAACAGAAAUUGUUUCUUUUUAAAAUGUCUGUUCUUUUCUACCAUUUUAAUAAUUUAAAUUAAUAAAAAACGACAUGAAAAAUAAAACUAGUAAAUCCAUGCAUCAAUAGAAAGUUUCUUACAAAUCUAUUUUCAUUAGUAUGGGGAAAAGUUAUUAGUUUCAUGGUGGUAGGAUUAUAUCUUAAAUAAAUGAAGUUUUAAUUUAAAUUGCGGGAAUGUGAGACCCUUGGUUCCAUUACACAUCAAAUUUUAAUAUUUGAACUGUGGAAUUCAAGACAAUAUAAGUAUUAAAAAAAUGAAGCAUUAAUUGUAGCAUUUAUGCUAUAUUAUAUGAAGACUGAUUUCAUUCUUUGUAACUGUCAUUUUUCAUUUAAACAUUUUAUAUUACAUCUCAAUGUUUUAUGUCAUAUCAUGGAAAUAUAAAUAAAUGCAAUUAAAUAGACUGUAUUAACAUAUGAUAUAAAUGCAUGAUAUGACACUUUUCAAUCAAAAGAAAUGUCUUUGACAAAAGAAUCUUUGUAAAUAUACAAAUAAUAGUAAUACAAAUUAUUAAAAAAAAUCUUAGUUAUGUUUAUAUUAUCUCAAUAAAAUCUGUAUCAUUAUGUACCAUUUCAUUGUCAAUAUGUUGUGGUUUAUAAAGAAAGAGUGCAUGUACUAAAUGUUGUUAUCGAAGUUUAUGUCAACUUUUAUCUUAAUAUUACUUGUAAGAGCAAAGUCUGAGAUACCGGUUAGUAUCAUUUGAAAAAUGAUGUUGACUCCUUAUUAAUAUUUGUUGAGAAUGUUUUGUUAUAUUUUUUUGCAAAUAAGAUCGCAUCAACUAAAUUCUAAUAAAGAUAUUUAAAUAAUCA